ACGGCGAGUGAAGCGGCAACAGCUCAAAUUUGAAAUCUGGCCCCUAGGGUCCGAGUUGUAAUUUGUAGAGGAUGCUUUUGGUGAGGUGCCGCCCGAGUUCCCUGGAACGGGACGCCGCAGAGGGUGAGAGCCCCGUCUGGCUGGCCACCGAGCCUCUGUAAAGCUCCUUCGACGAGUCGAGUAGUUUGGGAAUGCUGCUCAAAAUGGGAGGUAUAUGUCUUCUAAAGCUAAAUAUUGGCCAGAGACCGAUAGCGCACAAGUAGAGUGAUCGAAAGAUGAAAAGCACCUUGAAAAGAGGGUUAAACAGUACGUGAAAUUGUUGAAAGGGAAGCGCUUGUGACCAGACUUGGGCGCGGCGGAUCAUCCGGGGUUCUCCCCGGUGCACUUCGCCGUGUUCAGGCCAGCAUCAGUUCGGCGCGGGGGAAAAAGGCUUCGGGAACGUGGCUCCUCCGGGAGUGUUAUAGCCCGUUGCAUAAUACCCUGCGCUGGACUGAGGACCGCGCAUCUGCAAGGAUGCUGGCGUAAUGGUCACCAGCGACCCGUCU
rnacentral:rRNA from 1 species